CACAAAAGCCAGCACCUCGAAACUUGAACAGAAUGCACUUCCAUAUUCUGCAGAAUGGGAAAUAUGCUGUGAUGUUUGUUUUGGUCUGUUUGAACAGUGGGAUCCCCUUUUUUCUGAAGGACAUUUAUGUUGAAGAGUGAGGGAGCUGGCAUGCACAAGCAGCUGGGAGAGGUGACCCCCAUCCGACCAAAGGGAUGUCCAGCCCAUAUGGUGUCAUGCUCAGCAAUCAAACCUGGAGUAAGAGGGAAGAAAGGGGAACAUUCAGACUCCAGUGUCUGUCUUUCCAGGUUUUCUCACUUCUACUCUUCCAAUUCCCACUCCUAUCACAAUGUGGGAGGAGUGAGCAAGCAAUAUGUAGGGCUCAGCUUCCAGCCGUGCUUAAAGCACAACACCCAGUGAAAAAAUUAGGGAGAAUUACGCACUAAAGAGAAAAGCAGAGAUGUUUUCUUUUGGACAAAAUAUCUACAGAGAAAUUAUAAUAUCUGAAGAGACAUUUGACUUUGCCCAGAGCACACUCUCUGCAUGGCCCAGGAUUGCCUUUUACCAAUCCAUUCAUGAUCCAUAAACUGAUUGUAUUUAUCCUUGGGCUUGGCUGUAAGAUUGUGGCUCUAUCUUGUGAAGAUGCCAUCUGCUUUUUGCUGGCACUGGAGUCAGUGGUCUGGCACCCUCACAUAGAUGCUGUUUUCAGAAAAGAGCAGAGUUCUCAGUCCCAGAGCACAAAGCUUGGGACAGACAGGGAUCUGUCUGCCUAGGCAUGUAUCUGCCCUGUCUCCAGGUGUCUGGUUUACCUGUUGUCUCACAUAAUAUUGAGGGUUUCUCUUCUGGCACACCAUCUGAUUCAGUAACAGUUCUGCAGCAUUUCUUUUUCACAACUGUCUUUCAAGAGCCAGAAAAGGCACUU